AAGUCGAGGGGCAGCAUGGUCUUAGCUUGCUAAGGCCGAUGGCGACCGGCGCGCGGGUGAGUAACACGUAUCCAACCUGCCGUCUACUCUUGGACAGCCUUCUGAAAGGAAGAUUAAUACAAGAUGGCAUCAUGAGUCCGCAUGUUCACAUGAUUAAAGGUAUUCCGGUAGACGAUGGGGAUGCGUUCCAUUAGAUAGUAGGCGGGGUAACGGCCCACCUAGUCUUCGAUGGAUAGGGGUUCUGAGAGGAAGGUCCCCCACAUUGGAACUGAGACACGGUCCAAACUCCUACGGGAGGCAGCAGUGAGGAAUAUUGGUCAAUGGGCGAGAGCCUGAACCAGCCAAGUAGCGUGAAGGGUGACUGCCCUAUGGGUUGUAAACUUCUUUUAUAAAGGAAUAAAGUCGGGUAUGGAUACCCGUUUGCAUGUACUUUAUGAAUAAGGAUCGGCUAACUCCGUGCCAGCAGCCGCGGUAAUACGGAGGAUCCGAGCGUUAUCCGGAUUUAUUGGGUUUAAAGGGAGCGUAGAUGGAUGUUUAAGUCAGUUGUGAAAGUUUGCGGCUCAACCGUAAAAUUGCAGUUGAUACUGGAUAUCUUGAGUGCAGUUGAGGCAGGCGGAAUUCGUGGUGUAGCGGUGAAAUGCUUACGAUAUCACGAAGACUCCGAUGCGAAGGCAGCCUGCUAAGCUGCAACUGA
rnacentral:rRNA from 1 species